GGAGAUGGUGGAGGCGGGGACGAGGGGUUGGAACAUGAAGAGCACAUUGUGCAUGCGAUCUCGUACAAUGUUCUUGAUUGUGGAAUGGGCGAGGGAUUGGUGGAAGGUAGAAUCAUGAGAAGCACUGCCAGAAAGAAAAUGAUCAUCUUGAUUCUUUCCAUUCUGCGCACAAUCAACAUGAGACUACAGAUUUCAAGAAAUGCAGUUUAAUCAAGAAGAAGAAAAAAAGAAAAUUUUGGCGGAAUUCUUGAGAGACCUAUAAAUUAAUGAGCAGCUGAGAGAAAGAAGAAGAAGAAGAAGGAGAGAGGGAGAGAGAGAGCUAGUGAGCUUUGAGUGGAGGUUGAAGUAAGUGUCUAUUAUCU
rnacentral:misc_RNA from 1 species